AUUGAACGCUGGCGGCAUGCCUUACACAUGCAAGUCGAACGGUAACAGGUUAAGCUGACGAGUUGCGAACGGGUGAGUAAUGUAUCGGAACGUGCCCAGUCGUGGGGGAUAACUUCUCGAAAGAGCAGCUAAUACCGCAUACGACCUGAGGGUGAAAGCGGGGGAUCGCAAGACCUCGCGCGAUUGGAGCUGCCGAUAUCAGAUUAGGUAGUUGGUGAGGUAAAGGCUCACCAAGCCGACUAUCUGUAGCUGGUCUGAGAGGACGACCAGCAACACUGAGAGUGAGACAGGGCCCAGACACCUACGGGAGGCAGAAGUGGGGAAAUUUGGAAAAUGGGCGAAAGACUGAUCCAGCCAGGCCGCGUGCGGGAAGAAGGCCUUCGGGUUGUAAACCGCUUUUGUCAGGGAAGAAAAGGUUCUGGCUAAUACCUGGGACUCAUGACGGUACCUGAAGAAUAAGCACCGGCUAACUACGU
rnacentral:rRNA from 1 species